GACGUAGGGUCCAAGCGUUAUCCGGAUUUACUGGGCGUAAAGCGCGCGUAGGCGGUCUGUUAAGUGCACAAGUGGAAAGCUCCGGGCUCAACUCGGAAAUUGCUUUGCAUACUGGCAGGCUGGAGGGACGCAGAGGUCUGUGGAAUUCCUGGUGUAACGGUGAAGUGUGUUGAUAUCGAGGAGGAACAUCCCAUGGCGAAGGCAGCAGGACUGGGCGUUUCUGACGCUGAGGCGCGAAAGCGUGGGUAGCAAACAGG
rnacentral:rRNA from 1 species